rnacentral:piRNA from 1 species
ACUCCCCCUUGUUGGAUCAAAGC